CGUGGAUAUUCAAUCAGAUAUGUAUAAAGACAAAGUUCCUUCGUUCUUUCUUCCCUGUUACUUUGUUUGCAUGCAUAGUACCGAGUAAGAGAGCGAGACACAGAGGGAGAGACAGAGAGAAACACAGAGAUAGAGAAAGGAGGAUAACCAUGGCGAUUUCUAGAUUGAGAUCAAUGAUUUCUCUUUCCAAGUGUAAAUCUACAGCUAUGUCUUUACCUUUUCAGUUUUCGAUUUUUCGAAGAGCUUCAACACAAGUUUCAUCCCAGUUCGAGAGUAUUGGGUUUAUAGGACUGGGAAAUAUGGGUUCGAGAAUGGCGAACAAUCUGGUCAAAGCUGGAUACAAAGUAGCCGUACAUGACAUAAAUGAAAAUUCCAUGAAAAAGUUCUCUGACAUGGGAGUUGAUACAAAGAAAACACCUUUUGAAGUUGCUGAAGAUAGUGAUGUUGUAAUUACAAUGCUACCUUCUUCAUCUCAUGUAGAUAAUGUUUAUACUGGACCUAAUGGUUUGAUUCAUGGUGGGAAUCUUUUGAGACCGAGGCUAUUAAUAGAUUCAUCUACCAUUGAUCCACAAACAUCAAGGAAGCUUUCUGAAACUGUCUCUAACUGCAUAUUAAAGGGAAAAAAAGAUAAUUGGGAGACCCCGAAAAUGUUGGAUGCUCCAGUAUCUGGAGGUGUGCUUGCUGCAGAAGCUGGGACACUCACUUUCAUGGUUGGUGGCUCUGAGGAAGCUUAUUUGGCUGCAAAACCACUAUUCCUUUCUAUGGGCAAGAGCACAGUAUAUUGUGGUGGAGCAGGAAAUGGUUCGGCAGCAAAGAUCUGCAAUAAUUUGGCAAUGGCUAUUAGUAUGCUUGGGGUAUCUGAGGCCCUUGCUCUUGGUCAGUCUCUAGGAAUUGCUGCGAGCACUCUGACAAAAGUUUUCAACUGUUCAAGUGCUCGCUGUUGGAGUAGUGAUACCUAUAAUCCAGUUCCUGGAGUAAUGGAGGGGGUGCCCUCUACAAGGAAUUAUGAUGGUGGGUUUGCAUCAAAGCUUAUGGCUAAAGAUCUGAACCUUGCUGCAAGCGCAGCCAAAGCUGUUGGUCUUAAAUGUCCUGUGACAUUCCAAACACAAAAGAUUUAAUCUAGGAGAAAUGGAUCGUGUAUGGCGUAAAGUAACUCCAUAUGCAUUGAGUUGUGCAGGAGUUAUUGUGUUGAGCACAUUAUACACAGAGCUUUGCCAGGACGGUCAUGAGAACAAGGACUUUUCCUGUGUUUUCCGUCAUUAUUACAGUGGGAAAAAUGAGAGUUAGUCUGAAGUGCAGCAGAUACUGCUGGCAGAAAAUUUCUUAGUGGGAAACUUCCAUUUAACAGCCUUCACUUGCAGGGUAAUAAGGAUACCAAAUUUUGAAAUCUUGUAUAGGAGUCCUUGUCACUAUUUAUGAUAAGACUCCAAAAUUAAGUACCUAAUGCCUGGAUGAAUAAAGUAGUACUUUUUGGAUUAAUAAAUGAGAAGGGACAACUUUGAUGUCCUUAUCAUAGUUUGGUUUUUUUCCUUCUUCUCUUGCUGUUGUGUCAGAAUCUACUGAGCAGACUUUCAGUGCCUUGUACCUGUAACUGUCAGCUAACUUCAAAAGUUAUGCAUAUGGCUCCAUUCAUUCUUAGAAAACUUGCUGGUUCACUCUGCAUGUACAUAUAUUUAUAUACACAUUUAAUACAUUAAUUCUUUCUGUGA